CUUAUCUUGAACAAGAUAUUUGUCCAACUUUUAAUUUAGUUUGUGCUAAUUAGAUAAAUUUUCAUGUGUCUGAUUAAUUUUUUAUCAUAUACAUUGUCCUACAGCUAUACUCAAUUGGAAAUUGCAAUAAAAACAAACCUUAAUUGGUUUCCUACCUGUCAAUUCAAAGUUGACAAAAAUCACAAUAUUAACAAAAGAUCAUAAUUCAGGAUUAAAGAAAAGUAUAAUAUUACUUGAAUAUAACAAUUAAUAUCAAAUAU
rnacentral:lncRNA from 1 species